GAUGAACGCUGGCGGCGUGCCUAAUACAUGCAAGUCGAGCGAACAGACGAGGAGCUUGCUCCUCUGACGUUAGCGGCGGACGGGUGAGUAACACGUGGAUAACCUACCUAUAAGACUGGGAUAACUUCGGGAAACCGGAGCUAAUACCGGAUAAUAUAUUGAACCGCAUGGUUCAAUAGUGAAAGACGGUUUUGCUGUCACUUAUAGAUGGAUCCGCGCCGCAUUAGCUAGUUGGUAAGGUAACGGCUUACCAAGGCAACGAUGCGUAGCCGACCUGAGAGGGUGAUCGGCCACACUGGAACGUGGCCACGGUCCAGACUCCUACGGGAGGCGGCAGUAGGGAAUCUUCCGCAAUGGGCGAAAGCUUGACGGAGCAACGCCGCGUGAGUGAUGAAGGUCUUCGGAUCGUAAAACUCUGUUAUUAGGGAAGAACAAAUGUGUAAGUAACUAUGCACGUCUUGACGGUACCUAAUCAGAAAGCCACGGCUAACUACGUG
rnacentral:rRNA from 1 species